GCGUGGGUGAUGAAGGCCUUCGGGUUGUAAAGCCCUUUUGGCGGGGACGAUGAUGACGGUACCCGCAGAAUAAGCCCCGGCUAACUUCGUGCCAGCAGCCGCGGUAAUACGAAGGGGGCUAGCGUUGUUCGGAAUUACUGGGCGUAAAGGGCGCGCAGGCGGCUUAACAAGUCGGACGUGAAAGGCCUGGGCUUAACCUGGGACGUGCGUUCGAUACUGUUGAGCUUGAGUGUGGGAGAGGAUGGUGGAAUUCCCAGUGUAGAGGUGAAAUUCGU
rnacentral:rRNA from 1 species